UGGGGAAUAUUGCACAAUGGACGGAAGUUUGAUGCAGCGACGCCGCGCGGAGGGUGUAGGCCUUCGGGUUGUGAACUCCUUUUUCUCGCGAAAAAGGCACAGUUUUGGCUGUGUUGAUGGUAGUGGGGGAAGAAGCGCCGGCCAACUACGGGCCAGCAGCCGCGGUAAUACGUAGGGCGCGAGCGUUGUCCGGAUUUAUUGGGCGUAAAGAGCUCGUAGGUGGUUCGUCGCGUCUGUCGUGAAAGCCAGCAGCUUAACUGUUGGUCUGCGGUGGGUACGGGCGGGCUUGAGUGCGGUAGGGGUGGCUGGAAUUCCUGGUGUGGCGGUGGAAUGCGCAGAUAUCAGGAGGAACACCGAUGGCGAAGGCAGGUCACUGGGCCGUUACUGACACUGAGGAGCGAAAGCGUGGGGAGCGAACAGG
rnacentral:rRNA from 1 species